CGGAGGCAGCAGUGAGGAAUUUUGGACAAUGGGGGCAACCCUGAUCCAGCCAUUCCGCGUGAGUGAAGAAGGCCUUCGGGUUGUAAAGCUCUUUCGCAAGGGAAGAAACGUUACGGGCGAAUAACCCGUGGUAAUGACGGUACCUUGAUAAGAAGCACCGGCUAACUACGUGCCAGCAGCCGCGGUAAUACGUAGGGUGCGAGCGUUAAUCGGAAUUACUGGGCGUAAAGCGUGCGCAGGCGGUUUUGUAAGUCGGAUGUGAAAUCCCCGAGCUCAACUUGGGAACUGCGUUUGAAACUACAAGACUAGAAUAGGUCAGAGAGGGGUAGAAUUCCACGUGUAGCAGUGAAAUGCGUAGAGAUGUGGAGGAAUAUCAAUGGCGAAGGCAGCCCCCUGGGAUCAUAUUGACGCUCAUGCACGAAAGCGUGGGGAGCAAACAGGAUUAGAUACCCUGGUAGC
rnacentral:rRNA from 1 species